rnacentral:lncRNA from 1 species
ACCCUUUCAUCUAUUGCUUUUCCCCUUUCCAUUAUAGUUUUGUUUAAAUUAAAUAAUGCAAUAGCCUUAAUAAUGCAUUUACCUUAAAAUGAUAUACGCGUAAUUAUAAUUGUCGCAUCCUGUUUUACGUUAUUCAUAACACAGAUUGUAUUCGUUUCUCUUUUAAUAUCACUAUAUAUGUUUUCUGGGUUGUGCCGAAUGUAAUAGUUAGAAAAAGCGUAACUUUUUGUGGUUAAGAUUUUUACUUUAACCAAGAGUGACAUCAUUUCCGCUUUAAUUUCUGACCCAGAACUAGCUCGACGAUCUGGAAUGGGAUUAGGAGGUUAGAGAGUUGUGGACCCGGCUGAUCUCGUUUCACCGAAAGAACAUGUACGUUCGACCUUGGCUUUCUAGCGGUUCCACGUGUGUGCUAAACGGCUGAUAUACGUUAGCCCGACAUAUCGGAUGUUUUCGUAUUGAUCUCCACGUUUGAGAUGUCAUAUUUUUCGUUUGGGAGGGACGAUAUGCAGUUCUCUUUCGUCUGUGACAUCAUCGAACAUAUGGUGACAUGUUUUUCGACACGCGGAAGUACUGGAGUCGGAACCACAUCGCCGUUGACACGUGUUCUAGCGGAUGUAUAACCGGAUGAUUUUCUCUCCCUAUCUCGUUUUCCUGGACGGACUGUUCGAUGACGUCAGAAGGUAGAUGACCUGGUCUGUAGGUGAAAGAGAGAUGAUGAUAUAUUUACCAGUUUGGGUUUGUAGGUUUGUAGGUUACUAUUGCAACCUAGUUUGGUCCUCACUUUGACAACCGAGAAGAACCGUCAGGUAAUAUAGAUAACUAUAAUAUCCUGUUUGUUAGUGAGUUUGGUGUAGGUCACGCUUACUCUGCUAUUUUGAAGUAUAUUUUUGUUAGUAUACCAAACAUAAAAUUAAUUUUUUUUUUAAUACGUGCUUUAAGAAUGGCAGACGUUAAAUUUCGCUGCAAAAUUGAAGUGAAAUCAACAGAUAAUCGGAAAAUGCUGGAUUUGUUUAUCGAGUUAAUACACCCUCCUAGUGACUCAGAAUGAAUGAUAGCGUUAUUUGUGUGAUGGUGCCAAACACGGUUGACUGACAGAAGCAUGGCUGGUCGAAGGUGUUUAUGAAGUUAGAUCCAACAUCAACACUCAUUCUCGCGACUGACUUCCGGUUUGCGAUGUCCCAGAUAAAGCUUACGAACAUACAUACUUCUUGUCACCCAUUUAAAAAAAGAAUAUUUGCUAAUAUACGUCAUUUGACGUCUUUCUUUUUUUUUUUAAACUGCUGCCUCCGCAUUGUUUUUUACGCAGAAAAAAAAGGUGUGAAUAGAUCCGGCUUUGGCAUUUUUGGAUUAAUUUUACCGAAAAUAAGCGCAUAUUCUAGAAACAUUUUGGAAUAAAUGUUUUUUCUUCCAGU